CUUGCCCACGUAGGAGAAGAUCUCGGAGAGCGCGCUCAUGGUGUUGAACUCGUUCAUGUGCAUCCGGGACUGCUCAGCCAGGUGCCCAGGAGUUGGGUGGCAGACGAUCAGAGGUGGCACUCGUGCGCUACUCCAGCGUCAUGCUCAAGGGCCUGCGUGAACGACAGCCAGACCUACUGACCGCGAGGAAAACCCCAGGAUCCCGAUGGGACGUGAUCGUCAUCAGAAGCAAAGACUCCUGCCCUUCCCGUUACCUGCUCCUGAAACCUUACAGGAUGGCCCCAGUGAUUGAGAAGGUGGUCUCCAAUGCCCUGGACUCUUAGAGAAGAACAAAGUAUCCUCAUCCCUUCAAACACCUCAAGGAUGAAGGUGCAGACGUGAAGGACAUUUAGAGCCCAAGGCUCUGAUGUACAGAUACUUAACUUUUCAAGCUCCUGCAUAAAAGUCUUUCCCUCUGUGUUCAUUCACUGACCUCCCAGGCCCAGGAGAAUCAGGACGUUGCUCCCUGAGCCCCCACAGCUGACGGGGCUUGCUGAGGGCCUGUGUGUCCUCCUUGACCAUGAUGAGGGCCACAAGGGAAGGAUCAAGUCUAAUCCAUCCUGAGCGUCCGGUGCGCCCACGAUGGACACCAUAAAUGACCCAUGGAUGAGUGAAUGUGGCCGUAAGCAAAACCUCUAAUACUUGGAAUGGAGGCAGCAAAGACUGGGAGUCUGCAGUGAGGCCACCAACCACAAGCAUUGCAAGUUCACUUUCCGGGGACGUGGAGAUCAGCAAGCUUGAACAAUCUGUUCAGAGAUACGGCGUUGAUGGGCACUGGAGGGCUCGACGCCCAGCCUGGACCACAGGACUCACCAUCUGCCCUGAGAACACAAGGCUUUGGGGUCCGAGGCAGCCAUGACAGUUAGCAUCUGCUGUAUACCAGGAGCUAUGCUAGCAACUGGGGGUCCAGUGUGAAUAAGACCCAUCCCCUGUCCUGCAGAAGUCUGCCUACCGCUGGGCUCGUGGUGAUGUCAGACGUGCAAUCACGAACUUUGGGUGUUGGACCUGAAGGAUGGGUGGGGUCCAGUGUGGGAGCCAGGGAGGUGUGAGCAAGUCUACCCAGAGGGGCAUUAUCUGGAAAGCCUUCCCAGAGAGGACGACACUUAAUGGUCUCAGUGUUAGAGAUGCAGAUGAAAAGCUGAAGGAAGAGGAGCGGAAGGUACUGCCGAAGGGGAGUGAGCCAAAGACAAAGAGGAGAUGGAACCUGCAGCGCCGUCUGCUACCGGAGCCACCUGUCUGUUGCUAGAAAGGGUCCCGAGGCAUGGGGCAAAACCUGCCCACCUGCCCCUUUUGACUGUACUCUGCUGGCUCUCAGAUUCCGUGGCUUCCGUCCAGCCUGCGGAGACGCAGGUCAGGAAAUGGGGUGGCACCCAGCCAGGGACCACGCGUCUCCCUCCCUCUGCCUCCACACCGUCCCCUCCUGCUAUGUGCCCUGAUGCUCUGCUGUUGCUUGGCUGCCGUCCUCAAGGUUGGUAAUAAUAGUUACAAUGUUUGCGUGUGUUUGGCUUGCCUCCUACAACUUAAAUUCUUUUGAAUUACAUGAUUUCAAUCCAGCAAGAACAAGAUUUCUGUUGUAUCUCCCAGCAGCCAGCACGUACACACAACAAAGGCUAAAAUACAGCAGGGCCUCAUACUCAAGACUGCCAGUCAGUCAACAAGUAUUUAUUACGUUCCCACAAAGCGUGCAGUGCGGGCAGCAGCGAGGUCUAACAAUGGUAAGAUGCACUUGUUUCAAAGAGGAAAUAAA